UAUCCUACGGGAGGCAGCAGUGGGGAAUAUUGGACAAUGGGCCACAAGCCUGAUCCAGCAAUUCUGUGUGCACGAUGAAGGUCUUCGGAUUGUAAAGUGCUUUCAGUUGGGAAGAAGGAAGUGACGGUACCAACAGAAGAAGCGACGGCUAAAUACGUGCCAGCAGCCGCGGUAAUACA
rnacentral:rRNA from 1 species